rnacentral:rRNA from 1 species
GAUGAACGCUGGCGGCGUGCCUAAUACAUGCAAGUCGAGCGAACGGACGAGAAGCUUGCUUUUCUGAUGUUAGCGGCGGACGGGUGAGUAACACGUGGAUAACCUACAUAUAAGACUGGGAUAACUUCGGGAAACCGGAGCUAAUACCGGAUAAUAUUUUGAACCGCAUGGUUCAAAAGUGAAAGACGGUCUUGCUGUCACUUAUAGAUGGAUCCGCGCUGCAUUAGCUAGUUGGUAAGGUAACGGCUUACCAAGGCAACGAUGCAUAGCCGACCUGAGAGGGUGAUCGGCCACACUGGAACUGAGACACGGUCCAGACUCCUACGGGAGGCAGCAGUAGGGAAUCUUCCGCAAAGGGCGAAAGCCUGACGGAGCAACGCCGCGUGAGUGAUGAAGGUCUUCGGAUCGUAAAACUCUGUUAUUAGGGAAGAACAUAUGUGUAAGUAACUGUGCACAUCUUGACGGUACCUAAUCAGAAAGCCACGGCUAACUACGUG